rnacentral:rRNA from 1 species
AGAAUCAACGCUGGCGGCGUGCCUAACACAUGCAAGUCGAACGAGAAAGUGGAGCAAUCCAUGAGUAAAGUGGCGACCGGGUGAGUAACACGUGACUAACCUACCUUCAAGUGGGGGAUAACCUCGGGAAACCGGGGCUAAUACCGCAUAACAUCUUUGGAGUGGAAAUUCUGGAGAUCAAAGGAGCAAUUCGCUGGAAGAGGGGGUCGCGGCUGAUUAGCUAGUUGGCGGGGUAAUGGCCCACCAAGGCUUUGAUCGGUAGCCGGCCUGAGAGGGCGCACGGCCACACUGGAACUGAAACACGGUCCAGACUCCUACGGGAGGCAGCAGUGGGGAAUUUUGCGCAAUGGGGGAAACCCUGACGCAGCAACGCCGCGUGGAGGAUGAAGUCCUUGGGACGUAACUCCUUUCGACCGGGAAGAUUAUGACGGUACCGGUGGAAGAAGCCCGGCUAACUUCGUGCCAGCAGCCGC